rnacentral:misc_RNA from 1 species
AGAAAGAUUAAUUAAUUUCACUUUAUUAGGGUUUAGAGCUUAAGGAGAUAUAGGAGAGAGGAGGAGGGGCAUAGCAACGAAGAGGAAAUAAGAGAAAAUAAGAGAAGAAGGCUAAAAAAAAUGUUACUUUAAAAGAGGCACACCUCACAUUGCCUCACCUGGUGCCUCAGUGCCUAAGCCAAAGAGGCACUCGCCUCUUGGGACUA